UUGCAGGUGAAUCUUCUAGAAUUCCUAAUAUUCACUAAUAAAAUAUGGUGGUUAGUUGUUGUUGCCACCAUCUAGAAAAAAUGGUUUUGCGGAAGUCAUAUCUACCCUGAUCAAGGAGAAAGUUACCUAAACAUGCUCUGAUGCCAAUUUUAAUUAUAGAGAUUGCAACCUAAAAGGGAAAUGUGAAUUAGACUUUAUGAGAUUUUUUUAUUAUUUUGUAGAUGUUCUUUUCAUUUUAUUUUUAGGAAUUACGAUCAUGAACUUAGAACAAAGAAUGUAGAAAAAUAAUUAACAUAAAUAUAAAUGAAACAGGAGAUUUAUCCUGGUUAGUGUUGCUUGAAAACCUGAAAACCUGUGGUGUGACAUGGAACCAGUGGCGGAGGCAACGAUUAUGAGGGGGUAAAUAAUCGCACAAAAGAAAUUACACCCUUAACUUAAAUGACUCAUAUCUUUUUUAUUUAAUUCAUUUUAUAAUUUUCUCUUCUCUCUAAACUUCUUUCUCUCUCUAAGUCUCUAAUCCAAAAGCACGUUAAUACUUCUCCUCCCCUACUCUCGUUCGCCAGAAGCAGCGGUGCGGCGACACCACCACUACCCCUUCACUAUCCUUACUACUCUCCACUCGCCUUCCUACUCUCUACUCAAUCAUUCAACAUCAUUUAAACAUCUAUUAAGGAGAUUAUGGAGAAGUUUUUCAAACGUAAAUUACCAUCGGAAGAACAAGACUCUAUUUCUCAGCAGCAACAUAUUGAGUAUAAUUUGGAAGAGUUGUCAUCAGAUCCUGGAAAGCGGCCUAAAAUAUCAGCAUAUCAUCUAAAUGAUCAAGAGAUGGUAUGCUGAACAUAUUUACAAAGAGGGUCAUGCCAACAUACUCAACAUAAUUUCCCCCAAAGAAGAAUCGGAAAUUUAAUGAGAAGAUUUUGUUCCUCAUGGUUUAAUGAAUUUGGAAAUUGGUUAGAGUAUAGUAUAGAGAAAUAUGCCGCAUUUUGUUUAUGUUGUUAUCUUUUUAGACCUGAUUUUGGAAAGCAAUCGGGUGGUGAUACAUUUGUAACAGAGGGAUUCACAAGUUGGAAUAAAAAAGCUAAACUCGCAUCACAUGUUGGAGGCCCUAAUUACGCUCAUAACAUUGCUCGGAAGAAAUAUGAAGAUUUGAUGAGUCAAAAUCAACACAUUGAAGUUGUGAUAUCUAAACAAACUCGUAACUUAUAUCGAAGGUGGUUGAUGGCUUCACUUGAUUGUCUUCUCUAUCUAUUAAAGCAAGGGUUGGCUUUUCGUGGUCAUGAUGAAUCAAUAGAAUCUUCUAAUCAAGGAAACUUCCUUAAAAUGCUUAGAUGGUAUGCGGACAAAAAAAGAAAGUGAGAAAGUGAGACGAGUUGUAUCAGAAAAUGCUCCAGAAAAUCUAAAAAUGACUUCUCCAUCAAUUCAAAGAGAUAUUAUUAAAGCGGCGGCUUUGGAAACUACUAAAGCAAUUAUUAAUGACCUUGGAGAUGAAUUGUUUUCUACUCUUGUUGAUGAAUCCAGGGGUAUAUCUAAUAAGGAGAAAAUCGUUGUUGUUUUGUGUUAUGUUGACAAAUAUGGAAUUAUUGUUGAAUGAUUUUGGGGUAUUGCUCAUGUUAAAACUACAACAUCCAUGUCAUUGAAAAUGACCAUAGAUGAUUUGUUAUGCAAACAUGGAUUUACUACUUCUAGAAUUCUAGAACAAGGUUAUGAUGGUGCUAGCAACAUGCAAGGAGAGGUUUUUGGUCUUAAGAGUUUGAUAUUAAAGGAAAGUCCAUGUGUAUUUUAUGUACAUUGUUUUGCUCAUCGAUUACAAUUUACAUUAGUUGUUAUUGCUAAAGAUCACCUUCAUGUUUGCUCUCUUUUUAGCUUAGUAUCCACUUUAUUAAAUGUUGUUGGGGGAUCCUGCAAAAGGAAUGGCAUGCUACAUGAAAGACAAAUGAUUAAGGUUCGAGAUGCAUUGGAAAUUGUAGAAACCGUGUAUGGAAAAGGUUUGAAUUAAGGAACUAGUCUCAAGGUGGAACUAGUCUCAAGUGACCUGCUAAUACUCGUUGGAGUUCUCUCUAUGUUACUUUAGUGAAUUUGAUAUUGAUGUAUAGUUCUGUUACAGGUGUUUUUGAAAUGUUGAAAGAAGAUGUAUCAACUAAAGAUGCAAGAGACGGAGAAAAUGGUCGUUUACUUUUAAUGGAUAAUUUUGAUUU